rnacentral:rRNA from 1 species
UACGUAGGUGGCGAGCGUUGUCCGGAUUUACUGGGCGUAAAGGGAGCGUAGGCGGGCUUUUAAGUGAGAUGUGAAAUACUCGGGCUCAACUUGAGUGCUGCAUUUCAAACUGGGAGUCUAGAGUGCAGGAGAGGAGAAUGGAAUUCCUAGUGUAGCGGUGAAAUGCGUAGAGAUUAGGAAGAACACCAGUGGCGAAGGCGAUUCUCUGGACUGUAACUGACGCUGAGGCUCGAAAGCGUGGGGAGCAAACAGG